UGGCCGCCAAGUCUCUGGCAUCGCACGCGGGUCUGGUUCCUGAGGUCGCGCGGGCUGAGUACCGAAGAUCCAGCCUCUGGAGAGAGACUGCAGCCAUCCUUGGGGGUAGAGCUCAGAUAGAGGACAUGGGUCCUGAGCAAAGAGAAGCACAGUCUCAGGCGUCCUGAAAAUGCUAGCACAAAAGUUGGCUUUAUAACAUUUGGCAACAGAAUUCAUUUCUGCAGUUUUCAAGAAGGUCUCUCUCAACUGCAGAUGCUAAUGGUUUCAGAUAUUGAAGAUCUUGUCAUUCACACAUUCCAUGGAAACUUCUUUGUCCACUCCACAAACUUCCUGUCUCUGCCAAUGUCAUCUCAAAUGUGCAUAGUACAGACAUCAGUGGAACACAGCUUUACUGACACUCAGUUGGUUUCUUUUUAGUCAGCACUCCUAUAUCCAUGAAGGUGAAGUAAGUUUCCAUUUGCUUGCUUUCAUAGUUGCAAAAAC